rnacentral:piRNA from 1 species
UACACCUGAUGGUUGUCUUUGAGCAGAGUC